rnacentral:tmRNA from 1 species
GGGCCUGUUUUGGAUUUGAUUGCAGGCGGACUUUGUCGGACGCACGUCGGAGGCUCGGCUCCGUAAAAACGGAAACAAUUUUAAAUGCUGACAAGACUGAAAGAAGGACGGCUGUCGCUCGUCGCGCUUCGGCGCGCCGCGUGGCGCUUGCGGCUUAACCAAGUUUAAGCUCCGUCCCGUCCCUGUUGCCCACGGCAGGGAACGGGGCGUCAAUGCAGUGGGGAACCUCCUUUGAGGGAACACUUCCGCCCUCAAAGAGGAUCAUAGGGAAGUAUGCCCAAGGCGCGGGUUGUCUGUGAACUGCCCGCGGGCGAGACUUUCUCACAGACUAAACGUGUAGUGUCCGCAGACGAACCCUGUAAGACCGCGGUUCAACUCCGCGCAGGUCCACCA